AUAAGCAUUGAGCAUGAAUCUAUAUAACCAUAUUCAUUGGCAUUGCAAACUAAACGAAUUCCUUCCAAUUUUUCACACAGGAAAUUUUAUGCUGCUCACGAAGCGCCCGCCAAAAAACCGAAAAAGAAGAAGUGCAUUAUCCUAUAAGAAUCUGAAUAUCAAACAAAAAAAAAACUUCAUGAAACGACGACAAAACAGCAUAAAUAAACACACGAGAUGAAUUCGAAAAGACUUUGUACAGUACAGGGGAAAAUUGUGUUCUGAAAAACUGUCGGAAUAGGACGACGUUGAGCGUGGUUUGCAAAAGCCGUCAGUUGAGAUUCAAAGGUUCCUUUUAUUAAUUUUUCAGUCAAGUCUAAAAAGCGUAUAGUUAUGUUAUAUAUAGAUAAAAAAUACAGAAAUUCGCCGACAUUACCUCGGCGAAUUUUUGCCUAGAUUUUGCCAGAGCUGUCUCUUUAAAAGAUUAUUGGGGUGACCGGACAUUAUUUAUGGAGGGAGGAGGGGUUUUUUCCUCUCCUAAAUUUAAAAAAAAUUGAAAGCUCCCCCCCCCUAAAAGAGCUGAAAUGGUCCCCCAUGCUCUUUCCCCCAUGACAAGAGCUCUUUCCCCCAUGACAAAAAGACUGGUCAUUAUUUGUAGGUGACACCAAAGAGAAAUGUUUUCUCCGUAAAAAUUUUGCUAAUCCAACAACCAUUAGAAAGAAAAAAAAAUACCCACCCCUGGCCAAAAACAAAAGGAUACCAUUCAGUUGUCACACAUGUCCUUUACCACUUCUGUGACACGAGUUUGAUAACUGCUUGUGCAAUUUUCUGCAGUCUGAAGUUUCAUGUUGUCUGCACAUGUACUUUCUUUGGAGACACCAUUUGCCUCGUGACAAAUCGGAAAAUGAUCAAGAUAGUGACUCUGAUUUAAUAAUUGUAUUGACCUGUGACUGUUGAGAUUGCUUUUUAGUCUUCAAUAUUAGAGCGAGUCAUGCUUUGGGAAUGACAAUAAAUUUCUAUUACCCAAACCCUUGAGUUGUUUUGUUUUUCAUUUACCCAACCUUUUACUCACUCAAAAUUUUGUUGACCCAACCCUUUUCUCUUUGGUGUCUCCUCCCC